AGGUUCUGGAUCCCUCUUCUUAGU
rnacentral:siRNA from 1 species